CGAGAAGGUCAGGACGUCUGAACUGGGAAUGUAUUCUAAGUAAGAGUUCAUUCUUCCAAUGAUGGGUUGGAGCAGAAUGAGAUGUUUAGCUCUCGCUGAUUGUUGUCUCUCCCUGAUCACCAUAGCAGACCCUUCACUUCCUUUGCAAAGGAAGUAAAUAUUCCUAAUAUAGAGCAAGGAAGUCACGUGGCUAUGCCCAUCCAAUCACAGCGGACUUAGCCAGCGCUAUGCCAUGGCGUCCAGAACUCUUCGCUCAUCCACCGAAAGGAGUGGACUCCUCAAUCUACUCACCUUUUAUUAAUAUCACAUCAUCAGCACAGUUCGUAGAGGCAUUCGCUAACCUUACCCAAGAUCCUCCGAAAGCCCGUUACGAGGAUAUCGAUGCAUUGAUCUAUUCAGCUCUACAUUUGAUUCCGUCGAAGAAAAUGGCGUCUUUCAUGGGUUUAAACCCCAGUCAUCGUUGGCUUGUCAUUAGUAUCGGUUUCUUUUGAAAUUCUGUGGAAUUUCGCUGAUUGGGGCUUUGGACUAAGGCAGUUCAACUAUUAAACUGAGCAAUCAGCAGUGUCUGGAUUGACAUGUUCAACUCCAAUACAUCUUAUUUAUCUUUUCUUGCAUAUUUUCAUGUUAAUACUUCUUUACUCAAAGCUAUUAUAUAAUUGCAUUUUAAAGAUAUGUAUUUAGUUUUUGAAAAUCUGCAGAUAUUUGAAAUAUUUACCUUAUUUAAAAUAAAAUACUGAAAA